CUGCACCUGUGGCAUAUGGAAGUUCCCAUGAUAGGGGUGAAAUCGGAGUUACAGCUGCCAGCCACAGGCACAGCCACAGCCUCACAGGAUCCGAGCCGUGUCUGAGAACUACACCACAGUUCAUGGCAAUACCAGAUCACUGACCCACUGCACUAGGCCAGGGAUCGAACCUGCAUUCUCAUGGAUACUAGUUGGGUUCAUUUACGCUGCACCAUGACGGGAAUGCCAACAAAUAUUUAUUUUUAUUUGCCAAGACUCUUCCUUAUUGCCUAUCAUGAGCCAGGCCAGUUCUGCCCCAGAGCCCACCUGGGGCUCCACCACAGGUGACUGCUGGGCCAAAGAACACAAGGAGUGGGACAAAAUUACAGGGACAUGGAUAAAGAAAUGCUGACUUCUUCAAUGUCCCUCUGACAAAAACAUGUUUGGGCUUCUUACCAACCACCAUGUUUAUGUUCCUAUAGGGCAUGCUGAGGUAGGUCCAAAUUAAGGAUAGUCUUUAAGUGAUACCAUAUUUAAUAAAUGGAGGCUUUAAAAAUGUAUCAUUUUAUUUUUAAAGCUUCAAUUAUUAAAAAAUUCAACAAAUAUGUAUUUGAUGACUACAGUGUCCCAAACAUUGUGUGAGGUACUAGAAAGCCCAAAAUGAAUAAGAACACAGCAAUGAUAACCCCACUUCCCCCCAACAGACAGCAAUUACUGGCUUCUACCAUGUGUUGGGCCUUCUAGGUACACACCCAAAAGUACACCUACUAAGUGAUGGUUCUAGGCUAGCAACAUUUGCAUGGCACAUUGAAACCAUACACACAAUACAGGAGGCAGGGAGAAACCCCCUUAGGAAGCGAUAGACAUUUUAGAGACAGGAGCUAGGAAAGGCUAUCCCAGUGGGGACCUAAGUGCAAAGACUAGUCACAUGAAACCAUAAAAGAGCAUAGUCCAUAGUUCAAUACGCUUGAAAUUCAGAGUUCAAGGAAGGGGAGUUGGGGCUUAAAAGGAAGCCAAGAUAUUCUAAGAAGCUUAGAUUUAUCUUGAAGGCAUAAGUUACCAAUGAGGGAUUUUAAAGGAGGAGGAGGAAGGCUUUAUUAUAAUCAGAUUUGCAUUUCCAAAUGAGUGCUCCAUCCACCAUAGUGUGGAGUGAUCAGAAGCAGAAGAAAUUGGAAGUAGGCAUUCUAAGAGGGAGGGAGUUGUAUGCCAACAGCUGAAACGUGGCAUGUAACAUUGGUUGCAGAUUUUGGUGGCAGCGAUGGGAUGGAAUGCAACCGAGCAGGGCCCAGUGGGGCUCCGUGGCACAAAAGCCUUUCUGCAUUCCCCACUUCUUGUUUUUAGGAAAUGGACCUCCUUCAACCUACAUAGCCUUCCCUGAGAUCCAAGGGACAGGCUCAGACAGUUGAUGAUCUGCGAAAGAAGGGGAUGCAAAGACAAGGGAGGAACAGUCAAGAAACAAUAGUACAGCCCUGGGGCAGGAUCCUGGUUCCCUCCCAGGGGGUACACAUAAGGAUGUAGGCAGAUUACACACCUAAGAGAAAACUUACAUUCCUUAUGCUUCUUUUAGAAAUGAAUACAUUAAAAUUGAAGAGCUUAGAGUCCUUCCUUGUCCUUCUCCCUGGCUUAAUUAUACCUGAAACACCUGUAAGCUCAAGAUUAGGCACCCUGAGCACAAUUGACUCUGUGUUAAGGAUUAUUAGCACAUGAUGUUUUUAGGAACCUUCCUAGAUGUUUUAAUCUCUGAUCAAUAUGCCCUUAUUGCAAGUACUGUGAUUCUAGGAAAUAACCCAGAAAACAACCAUCAUGAUCAUGCUGAGAUUUCCUGACCCCAGCUUUAACGACUAAGAUUCCCCCAAAGAAAGAAGAAUUCAUGUUUAUCCCAAUCCUGAUUGCUACCUGAAAACCUGUUUUUCUCCUUCUUACUAUAAAACUCCUCGCAGUUCUUCCCAAUGGGGGGCACAAUCUUUAAGGCCUUAGCCUGCUGUGGCCUCCUUUGCCUGACAAAGCAAUGUAAGCUAUCUUUUUCUCCUUCACCCCAAACUCUGUCUCCUUGUUUUUAUUCAGCACCGGUGGACAGAAGCCAAGUUUCAGCCACAGUGUUAUCCAUCAAACCCAAUACAAAGGAGUGUAUAAUGGAAAUGUGUACAGAUCAAAUGUCCCAACAACAUAUCCUAGAAAUAAUGGACCACUCUAGCAUUCAUAGCCACUCUGUUGCUGUUUCCCAACCGUUAACACGUCAGCAGUAAGAAGGCAAGAGAGAGACCCCAAAGUCUCUGUCCUUUGUGGAUAGAUCUGGUUAGCAACAUUUUCCUCAUCUACAUAUCAAUUUCUUUACAGCAUGAAAGGGUUUCACAGAGACAGUGUAAACUGGGGUCCAGGCAUUUAAUUCAGCAUUAGAAAGUGGAUUCCCUAAGGUGAUAUGAAAACAAUCUAGAUUAUAUAUCUCUUCGAUUGACAGUAGAAUUUCAAGGUCAAAAAAGAAAGUUAAAGUGGACAGGAAAUACACUACAGCCCAAUUUAAACUCCUCAAUUUAUGGGUCAUAUAUUUAUUUGGCUCUUCUGUUCUCAUUGCUUGGAAUGCCCUUGUAAAUGAAGUCAUUUGGGAGCUCCCUGGUGGCCUAGUGGGUUAAGGAACUUGCAUCACUGCUGUGGCUCAGGACACGGCUCUGGCAUGUGUUUGAUCCCAGAUCCAAGAACUUCCACAUGCCUGGGUAUGGCCAAAAAAUAAAAUAAAAUAAGCCACCUGAUAAAAUCCUACUUGUCCAUGACAUCCUCAAAGACCCUCCCAUUCUGAAUCCUUUUGACAUGUACUAAGUCAAUUCCAGCCUCAAUUGUCAUUUGUAUAAUUAGGGAGAAGGGCAAUAUUGACAUGUUGACUUAUGAGGCUUAGUGAUCAUAUACAUAAAGCAAUGAGCACAGAACCCAGCACAUAGCACUCAAAGUUAGGCUAUGAUUAUUAAUAACAAAUAAUACUAAUCUAAAUAAAUCCAUAAGGCUGGUAUUAUUAUUCCCCAUAACAUAAAUUGGUAUAUGCACCCUGAGGUAUAUGGAAUGCUUGGCCAAUGGAAACCUGCUGUAUAGCACAGAGAACUCUACCCAGUAUUCUGUGAUAAUCUGUGUGGGAAAAGAAUCUGAAAGAGAAUGGAUGUG
rnacentral:lncRNA from 1 species